rnacentral:rRNA from 1 species
CCUACGGGGGGCAGCAGUGGGGAAUAUUGGACAAUGGGGGGAACCCUGAUCCAGCCAUGCCGCGUGUGUGAAGAAGGCCCUCGGGUUGUAAAGCACUUUCAGUGAGGAAGAACGCCUGGUGGUUAAUACCCAUCAGGAAAGACAUCACUCACAGAAGAAGCACCGGCUAACUCCGUGCCAGCAGCCGCGGUAAUACGGAGGGUGCGAGCGUUAAUCGGAAUUACUGGGCGGAAAGCGCGCGUAGGUGGCUUGAUAAGCCGGUUGUGAAAGCCCCGGGCUCAACCUGGGAACGGCAUCCGGAACUGUCAAGCUAGAGUGCAGGAGAGGAAGGUAGAAUUCCCGGUGUAGCGGUGAAAUGCGUAGAGAUCGGGAGGAAUACCAGUGGCGAAGGCGGCCUUCUGGACUGACACUGACACUGAGGUGCGAAAGCGUGGGUAGCAAACAGGAUUAGAUACCCCAGUAGUC